UUGCAGAAAAACAUAAAAUCUUAAUUAUAAAAGAUGCAACGAUUUUAAACAGGAAGCACAGAUCCAUAAAAUAUGCACCAAAGACAAAGAUCUUAACAAUCUUGGAAAGGAAAAGUGGAAAAGAAGGGAGAUUCUUGUUUCAUAUACAGAUACAUAAAAAACCAUUCACGCAUCUGCAUUACAGCACACUAACACGAACGUAUUCAUAACCACCACUACUCGAAAUAUCUAAUUAAAACAAGAUCUAUAACCUUAAUCAGUGCAGAAUAAAACGACAGCCUCCCAUUUAGACAAAGUGAUUAAUCUGAUUAUAGGCUUUUAGGUUGCUAUAGAAAAUGAUCGGACCAAGAUGCUUCAUUCCCCAUGAGAAGAAGUGAUUCUAAAGCGAGAGAAGAAGACCCUUUAUUUCACUUCAAUUAGAGAGUUCUUCUUCUCCUUAUACUCCAUUGUCAGCUGUCAGAUGUCCAUUUCUCCGACUUAUUUUCUUCUUUGUCUCUGUUGGUGAUGAUGAUAGAGACAGUAAUGGUUGUGAAGAGAAAAGGUAAGUUGGGUGGCAGGACAGUCGAGAACAUGAUGAUUGUUUUGGGUUCAGCAGUUGAAAAUUUAGAGACGGAUAGAGUCAGAGAGGGAAGAGAGAGAAACCCUAAAUGUUUUUUUGUGUUCUCUCCCUUUCUUUCCCACAGAAGAUAGUGUUUCUUGAGAAGGAAAAAGGGACGGUAAAGGCUUUCAUUGAAAACUUGUCUUUAAUUACAAUAUAUCUCACCCAUUUCAUAGGCGUGCGAAAUUAGUACGCGGGAUUCCGACCAAAAUAUAUAUGAGCAUCAAGUGAGUGGUGUCGAAGCUUGAAUAGUCUUUUUCGAG
rnacentral:lncRNA from 1 species